rnacentral:lncRNA from 1 species
GGGCGGGGCGAGGUCGCUCGGAGCCGCCUACGCCGGAUGCACAGCCGGCCUUCUUCGCGCCCACGUACCCACGUGAGCGCCCAGCCGGCGACAUUCUUACUCCCACUCCUCCUUCCCCUCUGAGCGGAGAGCGGAGUUUCACAACCACGCACAGGUACACAAAGACACAGAGAAGCACACCGACGGGCACACGCGCCUAAACAACUACCCGGUCGCCUGCUGCCCACACUCGGGCUUCGCGGUGCUAUACGUGUGAAUGUUAGGAGUGAGCCAGGAAAAGUUGGGAGACUGGGGUGCGCGGCUCCUCUCGUGGGUGCUUCUGACUCCCGUAGAGUGUGCACUUAGGACAGAUCUGUGAAGGUGGAGCUCUGCAGGAAUCCCUCACAGAUCCUCGCACUCUUCCCAAACCACGUCGAAGUUCGGGGAACAGAAAUGGGCGGGGUUUGCCAUAACCUGCUGCUUAGACGCGCGUCUAUUAGUCGCGCUGGGUUGUUAGUGCUUAGGUCAGGCAAGGAUGGGAGGGGUAUCCUGCCUUCUUCCGCUAGUAGCAUCCUAUUUGCUGAGAAUGGGGACCUACCUCUGGGGAAUUCUGUGUGGCAACUUUGGGAGGAGGAUACCCCUUCUAGGGACGUCUGUGAAGGAAGAGAAACAAUAUCCUGGGUCUCAAUUUUCCAAAAACACAGGAAAAGAUUGUGAAGAAAGUGGGUGGAAGAGGAGUGCGGAUAUUGCUAACCAGAAGGAUUGUCAUUCCUAGGCAGGAGUAGAUUUUCAUCUAGCAGAUUGCACUGCUCACCGCACCCACCCCUACCCCCCAACAAGUUUUCACCAGGCCAAAUACAGCAAGAUUUGGCUCAAAUGUCACCUGCCUGGUCCCUCGCCUUCCUGCACCUCCGCCAGGAAGAAUUAAUUUCUUCCAUCCUUCAGUAGCCUCAUGGCUCUUGGUACGCAUUUCGACUAUAGUUGCUGGUUUCAUCUUCAGCCUGGGGUCUUUCCUGGUCUGGUAUCUGGUGGACCCUCUGAAGUGACUGAGUUGAUGAUGCUGUUUCCAGGCUGGAGCAGCUUUGAAAAGGGUAAUUGACACAGAUUUUACUCCAGAGGAGGCUGAACCUGGGCAGAACUGUUCAAGUGGAGACCAUUGUUUUCCAUGUCUCCAUGCUUUUUUUUUUUUUUUUUUUAAUUUUGGAAAUGUUUUUUUAUUUUUAUUUUAUUUUUUGCUUUUUAAGGGCACACCCGAGAGAUAUGGAGGUUCUCAGACUAGGGGUCUAAUCGGAGCUACAGCUGUCGGUCUACACCACAGCCACAGCAACGCAGGAUCCGAGCCACAUCUGUGACUGACCUACACCACAGCUCACAGCAGUGCCGGAUCCUUAGCCCACUGAGCGAGGCAGGGAUCGAACCCACAACCUCAUGGUUCCCAGUCGGAUUCGUUUGUGCUGCGCCACGAUGGAAACUCCCUGAAAGUGUUUUUUAUUAAAGUAUAGUUGAUUUACAAUGUUCUGUCAUCCUGCCUUCUUAAAGUUUCCAGCGAGUCUCACAAGUCUGACUCCUUGGCCUUCUAAAAUGUCUACAAUUUUGGUAAAUUAAUUCAUACCCAGUUGCUAGAGGGAAAAGUCUGAAAUCCUCUCUGGUAACAGAAAAAUAUGAAUAUAAAUUAAUGAUCAUCCUUUUUUACUCUUUCAUUAACAUAUUAGAAUUGUAGUCUAAGGAGUAUUGCUCUUCAAUUUAGUAAUUUUACCAGAGAUGCUUCACCUCCCAAAAGACAAAUAAUCCUAACUUCUACCUUUAAGGAACUCGUAGACUAAUAGGGGAGAUAAAUACAUAUACAAUUACAGUGCAGUGCAAAAAUGGGGAUAGAGCCAAUGACAGAAGUGUAGGGGGGGCAAGGGAUGUCUUUCCCUUGGGGUUGUGAAGGACUGGUUUAUACAGGCAUCCAAAGGAGGUGAUGAUGCAGCCUAGGAAUUUGAAAUAUAAAUAAAUUUCCAGGAGGAAGGGUCA